rnacentral:misc_RNA from 1 species
GAUGAAGAACGCAGCGAAAUGCGAUAAGUAGUGUGAAUUGCAGAAUUCAGUGAAUCAUCGAAUCUUUGAACGCACAUUGCGCCCUUUGGUAUUCCAAAGGGCAUGCCUGUUCGAGCGUCAUUUGUACCCUCAAGCUCUGCUUGGUGUUGGGCGUCUUGUCUCUAGCUUUGCUGGAGACUCGCCUUAAAGUAAUUGGCAGCCGGCCUACUGGUUUCGGAGCGCAGCACAAGUCGCACUCUCUAUCAGCAAAGGUCUAGCAUCCAUUAAGCCUUUUUUUCAACUUUUGACCUCGGAUCAGGUAGGGAUACCCGCUGAACUUAAGCAUAUCAAAAGCGGAGGA